rnacentral:tRNA from 1 species
UGAAUAUAGUUUAACAAAAAUCCUAGCUUGUGAUUCUAGAGACGAGGACUAACAACCCUCUAUUCACC